rnacentral:rRNA from 1 species
GAUGAACGCUGGCGGCGUGCCUAAUACAUGCAAGUCGAGCGAACAGACGAGGAGCUUGCUCCUCUGACGUUAGCGGCGGACGGGUGAGUAACACGUGGAUAACCUACCUAUAAGACUGGGAUAACUUCGGGAAACCGGAGCUAAUACCGGAUAAUAUAUUGAACCGCAUGGUUCAAUAGUGAGAGACGGUUUUGCUGUCACUUAUAGAUGGAUCCGCGCCGCAUUAGCUAGUUGGUAAGGUAACGGCUUACCAAGGCAACGAUGCGUAGCCGACCUGAGAGGGUGAUCGGCCACACUGGAACUGAGACACGGUCCAGACUCCUACGGGAGGCAGCAGUAGGGAAUCUUCCGCAAUGGGCGAAAGCUUGACGGAGCAACGCCGCGUGAGUGAUGAAGGUCUUCGGAUCGUAAAACUCUGUUAUUAGGGGAGAACAAAUGUGUAAGUAACUAUGCACGUCUUGACGGUACCUAAUCAGAAAGCCACGGCUAACUACGUG